rnacentral:rRNA from 2 species
UACGUAGGGUGCGAGCGUUAAUCGGAAUUACUGGGCGUAAAGCGUGCGCAGGCGGUUUUGUAAGCCGGAUGUGAAAUCCCCGGGCUUAACCUGGGAAUGGCAUUCGGGACUGCAAGGCUGGAGUGCGGCAGAGGAGACUGGAAUUCCUGGUGUAGCAGUGAAAUGCGUAGAUAUCAGGAGGAACACCGAUGGCGAAGGCAGGUCUCUGGGCUGACACUGACGCUCAUGCACGAAAGCGUGGGGAGCAAACAGG